UACGGAGGGAGCUAGCGUUGUUCGGAAUUACUGGGCGUAAAGCGCGCGUAGGCGGUUACUCAAGUCAGAGGUGAAAGCCCGGGGCUCAACCCCGGAACUGCCUUUGAAACUAGGUGACUAGAAUCUUGGAGAGGUCAGUGGAAUUCCGAGUGUAGAGGUGAAAUUCGUAGAUAUUCGGAAGAACACCAGUGGCGAAGGCGACUGACUGGACAAGCAUUGACGCUGAGGUGCGAAAGCGUGGGGAGCAAAGCAGGG
rnacentral:rRNA from 1 species